UUCUCGUACGAUCACUGAAGUUAAGCAACGUCGAGGCUGGUCAGUACCUAAGUGGGUGACCGCUUGGGAAUACCAGGUGCUGCCAG